CCCAGAGUGGCAUAAUGGUUUGAGCAUUGGACCAUGACUCUGGAGACCAGGGUUUGAAUCCCAGCUCAGCCA